rnacentral:rRNA from 1 species
CGAGGAUGCAAGCGUUAUCCGGAAUUAUUGGGUUUAAAGGGUGCGUAGGCGGACUGAUAAGUCAGUGGUGAAAGCCUGCAGCUUAACUGCAGAAUUGCCGUUGAUACUGUCAGUCUUGAGUACAGUUGAGGUAGGCGGAAUGUGUCAUGUAGCGGUGAAAUGCUUAGAUAUGACACAGAACACCGAUUGCGAAGGCAGCUUGCUAAGCUGUAACUGACGCUGAGGCACGAAAGCGUGGGGAGCAA